rnacentral:tRNA from 1 species
GGAGAGGUGGCUGAGUGGCCGAAAGCGCUCCCCUGCUAAGGGAGUAGGCCUCUAAAAAGGGCCUCGCGGGUUCGAAUCCCGCCCUCUCCGCCA